rnacentral:rRNA from 1 species
CCGGCGACCGGCGCGCGGGUGAGUAACACGUAUGGAACCUGCCCGCAGCAGGGGGAUAAGCGGAAGAAAUUCCGUCUAAUACCGCGUAACAACGUUGGGAGGCAUCUCCCGAUGUUUAAAGAUUUAUCGGCUGCGGAUGGCCAUGCGGCGCAUUAGCUAGUCGGCGGGGUAACGGCCCACCGAGGCGACGAUGCGUAGGGGUUCUGAGAGGAAGGUCCCCCACACUGGUACUGAGACACGGACCAGACUCCUACGGGAGGCAGCAG